rnacentral:rRNA from 1 species
UACAGAGGCCCCAAGCGUUACUGAGAAUCACUGGGUUUAAAGGGUGCGUAGGUGGCGCGUUAAGUCCGUUGUGAAAUCCCUUGGCUCAACCAAGGAACUGCUUCGGAUACUGGCGUGCUUGAGGCUAGUAGGGGUCACUGGAACUGACGGUGGAGCGGUGAAAUGCGUAGAUAUCGUCAGGAACGCCAAUGGUGAAGACAGGUGACUGGGCUAGUUCUGACACUGAGGCACGAAAGCGUGGGGAGCGAACGGG